rnacentral:rRNA from 1 species
UACGGAAGGCAGCAGUGGGGAAUAUUGCACAAUGGGCGAAAGCCUGAUGCAGCUAUGCCGCGUGUAUGAAGAAGGCCUUAGGGUUGUAAAGUACUUUCAUCGGGGAGGAAAAAACAAAACUAAUAAUUUUAUUUCUUGACGUUACCCGAAAAAGAAGCACCGGCUAACUCCGUGCCAGCAGCCGCGGUAAUACGGAGGGUGCUAGCGUUAAUCAGAAUUACUGGGCGUAAAGAGCACGUAGGUGGUUUUUUUAAAGUCAGAUGUGAAAUCCCUGGGCUUAACCUGGAACUGCAUUUUGAAACUGAAAUACUAGAGUAUCGUAGAGGGAGGUAGAAUUCUAGGUGUAGCGGUGAAAUGCGUAGAUAUCUGGAGGAAUCCUGUGGCGAAAGCGGCCUCCUAAACGAAUACUGACACUGAGGGUGCGAAAGCGUGGGGAGCAAACGAGGAUUAGACUACC